CACGUAGGGCGCAAGCGUUGUCCGGAAUUAUUGGGCGUAAAGAGCUCGUAGGCGGUCUGUUGCGUCUGCUGUGAAAACUCGGGGCUUAACCCCGAGCCUGCAGUGGAUACGGGCAGACUAGAGGUAGGUAGGGGGAGAAUGGAAUUCCCGGUGUAGCGGUGAAAUGCGCAGAUAUCAGGAGGAACACCGGUGGCGAAGGCGGAUCUCUGGGCCAUUACUGACGCUGAGGAGCGAAAGCGUGGGGAGCGAACAGG
rnacentral:rRNA from 1 species